rnacentral:rRNA from 1 species
UGCCAGCAGCCGCGGUAAUACGGAGGGUGCAAACGUUGUUCGGAAUCACUGGGCAUAAAGCGCACGUAGGCGGCCUGAUCAGUCUGGUGUGAAAGCCCCCGGCUCAACCGGGGAACUGCAUCGGAUACUUUCAGGCUCGAGGACGGUUGGGGUGAGUGGAACUUCUGGUGGAGCGGUGAAAUGCGUAGAUAUCAGAAGGAACACCAGUGGCGAAAGCGGCUCACUGGACCACAUCUGACGCUGAGGUGCGAAAGCUAGGGUAGCGAACGGGAUUAGAUA